rnacentral:rRNA from 1 species
GGAUGAACGCUAGCGGCAGGCUUAAUACAUGCAAGUCGAACGGUAACAGGGUAGCAAUACCGCUGACGAGUGGCGCACGGGUGCGUAACGCGUAUGCAACUUACCUUUAACUGGAGAAUAGCCCCUCGAAAGAGGGAUUAAUACUCCAUAGUAAUCAGAGAAGGCAUCUUUUUUGGUUUAAAGCUCCGGCGGUUAAAGAUGGGCAUGCGUGACAUUAGCUAGUUGGUGAGGUAACGGCUCACCAAGGCUACGAUGUCUAGGGGUUCUGAGAGGAUGAUCCCCCACACUGGUACUGAGACACGGACCAGACUCCUACGGGAGGCAGCAGUAAGGAAUAUUGGGCAAUGGACGCAAGUCUGACCCAGCCAUGCCGCGUGAAGGAUGACUGCCCUAUGGGUUGUAAACUUCUUUUGUACGGGAAUAAACCCGGGUACGUGUACCCGGCUGAAUGUACCGUAAGAAUAAGGAUCGGCUAACUCCGUGCCAGCAGCCGCGGUAAUACGGAGGAUCCAAGCGUUAUCCGGAUUCAUUGGGUUUAAAGGGUGCGUAGGCGGAUUUGUAAGUCAGUGGUGAAAUCCUACAGCUUAACUGUAGAACUGCCAUUGAUACUGCAGGUCUUGAGUACAUUUGAUGUGGGCGGAAUGUGUCAUGUAGCGGUGAAAUGCUUAGAUAUGACACAGAACACCGAUUGCGAAGGCAGCUCACAAAACUGUAACUGACGCUGAGGCACGACAGCGUGGGGAUCAAACAGGAUUAGAUACCCUGGUAGUCCACGCCGUAAACUAUGAUCACUCGAUGUUGGCGAUAUACAGCCAGCGUCUAAGCUAAAGGCAUUAAGUGAUCCACCUGGGGAGUACGGUCGCAAGAUUGAAACUCGAAAGGAAUUGACGGGGGCCCGCACAAGCGGAGAGCAUGUGU